rnacentral:rRNA from 1 species
UACGGAGGGUGCGAGCGUUGUCCGGAAUCACUGGGCGUAAAGGGCGCGUAGGUGGCCUGUGGAAGUCUGCGGUGAAAGCCCGGCGCUCAACGCCGGGUCGGCCGUGGAUACUCUCGGGCUUGAGCUUACUAGAGGCAGAUGGAAUUCCGGGUGUAGCGGUGGAAUGCGUAGAGAUCCGGAAGAACACCGGUGGCGAAGGCGGCCUGCUGGGCAGUAGCUGACGCUGAUGCGCGACAGCGUGGGGAGCAAACAGG